GUGGCAGACAGCACAGCCUGGGAACGCCAUUCCCGUAAAGAGCCCGCGGUUCCGGGCACUGCAGAGCCGGCUGGGGAAAACUGCUACCGGGCUCUGGCUGACGGCUUCCUGGCCCCCCACACCUGUCCUCUGGGAUUUACAGCUCUGAACCAUUAUGAAACGGAGGCCUUAACCCGGGGGUGUCACGGAGAUGCUUUUUUUGCCUUGAGUUUCUCGAUUGCUAGGUGCUUUCAAAACCCAAAAAAAGGUGACCAGAAGUUUUGGUAAUGCUGU